rnacentral:rRNA from 1 species
UAGGGAAUCUUCCACAAUGGACGAAAGUCUGAUGGAGCAAACGCCGCGUGAGUGAAGAAGGGUUUCGGCUCGUAAAGCUCUGUUGGUAGUGAAGAAAGAUAGAGGUAGUAACUGGCCUUUAUUUGACGGUAAUUACUUAGAAAGUCACGGCUAACUACGUGCC